rnacentral:rRNA from 1 species
UUAGAUUGCUUCCUUCAGUACCUUAUGAGAAAUCAAAGUCUUUGGGUUCUGGGGCGAGUAUUCGCGCAAGCGAGAAAGUUAAAAGAAUUGACGGAAGGGCACCACCAGGCGUGGAGCUUGCGGCUUAAUUUGACUCAACACGGGGAAACUCACUAGUUUAAGACAAGAGUAGGAUUGACAGAUUAAUAGCUCUUUCUUGAUUUCUUGGAUGGUGAUGCAUGGCCGUUUUUAGUUCGUGAAUAUGAUUUGUCUGGUUAAUUCCGAUAACGAACGAGAUCUUAACCUGCUAAUUAGCGGCGAAUACGUUAUAUUCUUAUGUGAAAUUGAAUAUA